rnacentral:pre_miRNA from 1 species
UUUCUACUCCCUCCGUCCGAAAAUACUUGUCAUCAAAAUGGAUAAAAAUAGAUGUAUCUAAAACUAAAAUAUGUCUAGAUACAUUUCCUUUUAUCCAUUUUGAUGACAAGUAUUUCUGGACGGAGGGAGUAUUUG